CACUGGCACCCUGGAAAGACAUCCUGGAAACACAUUAGACUUGGUACCAUAACCUCUUGGGUAGUGAUCUUUAUUCUGCCUAUCAACAGUGCUUUGAACCCAAUUCUGUAUACUCUGACCACAAGACCAUUCAAAGAAAUGAUCCAUCAGUUUUGGUAUAACUACAGACAAAGAAGAUCUAUUGACAGCAAAGGAAGUCAGAAAACAUAUGCUCCGUCAUUCAUCUGGGUAGAAAUGUGGCCACUGCAAGAGAUACCAUCUGAGUUAAUAAAGCCAGCUCUUUUCACAGA